CACUUAGUGAGGUCUGGGGAGGGUAGUGUGUACGCAGACCUUACCCCUACCCUUGGGUAGAGAGGUUGUUUCUAAAUAGACCCCUGGCAUCCUUCCCUCCGGCAUCCUUCCCUCCAAGAACUUCUCACCUUGCUCUUGGGGAGACUCGAACUCAACCUCUCGGUUGGAAGUGGGGGUUGCUUACCAUCAGAGCAACCCGUCUUGUCUAGUUUGGCUUGACACAUACUUUAAUAAAGAAUUGAAGACUUUUGAGAGAUGUGGUCUUACAUAAGUCAUAUCAUAUGUGUGACAGUAAAACUUUUAAAACUUGUAAUCUCAAACCUAUCAUAUCUUGUCUGAUGGUUGGCUGAACAUAAAUUUUAAUAUAAGAUAUUUGUAACAUUAAUUAAAUGAAAAUAUUUAAAGGAAAAAUUUGUCGAAUCAUUAUUUUAUAAAAUAAAAAUAAAUAAGUUGAAAUAAUUGUUACACAAAAAUUUAAAAUAAGAUAGAUGAGUGUAAUAUCAUAAACUACAAGGAAUGUUAAGUAUUAUGAAGCGAAACUUAAUGGGAGGUCUCUAAAAUUGUCUCAAAAAUAUAAAUUACCUUCUGAUUAGGGGUACAAAUCGAACCGAAAAAUACCAAAAAGUUAAUUAAACCAAUUAAAUUAUUUAAGUAAGUUUGAUUUAAUUUGUAAGUAAAAAAAUCCGACCCAAACCGAAAUAUAAAUAUAUAAUUUUUAUAUAUAAUUUUAAGAUUUUAUAUAGAAUUUUUAAAAAUAAUAUCUAGAAAUAUUCGGGAUUAUCUUGUUGGAUAUAACAGUUAAUAGUAUAUGAAGGAGUUCAUAUUUAUUAACCUUAAAUAAUGGAUUGUAUGAUCACUUUCUCAUCAAAUGUUACUAAAUGUGUUAAUCUCUUUGUUCUUCCAUAUUCAUAUCAUAUGUUAAGAUCUAGUAAAUUGUUAUAAACGUUCAAAUGUGAAGUGAUUAUUAGUAUUUAGGUAUCAUAUUGAUUAUAUGUUUAAGUACUAAAUUCGGUUAACGUUGAAAAUGUACGUACAUCAACGAAAUAUUAUUGUCAGACAACUAAAAAAUAACUAUUACGUGUUACUAAUAAAAUUCUCUAAUAAGAAUAUUUUAUUAGAUAAAAUGUUUGUCAAUUUUUAUUAUUUUUAUUAAAUAUAUAUUUACUUAUAAAAAAUUUAACAAAGUAAGAUUGAAAAUAUUUAAAUAACGGAAAACCCGGAAAACCCAAAAAUUCCGACAAAACCAAAACCAAUCCAAAUUGAUGUAGUUGAUUUGGUUUAAUUAUUUAAAAAAAUCAAACCUACCUAGUUUAUGUACACCCUUACUUCUAACAUAUGAAUAGUAUUUUAGUGUUGCAGAUAAAGAAUGUAUGUACUAUAUAUCACAAAGUGGUGUUGAGUAAAGAUUGAAUUAAAGUUUCUUAUCAAUUUAAGGGAUUUCAAUUCAAUCUAAACUCGGAAAUUCAUACUUCUAUAGAUAAAAUUAUUUCGUUCUUUUAGCCUUUUUUUUAAUUAGGGAGGUUUCUGAAGGAAACAUACUAAUGAAUACUUAUAAGCGCAAAAUGAAUGUAUGUACAUCACACCUCCUACGACUAUUGCAUAAGCUCUGAAUGUACCCGAAGUAAGUCAUGGACUUUGGAUCUACUAAAUGAUAGGAGGGCGGACACAUCUCUUCUUACCUUUUCUUGUAUUUAGCUUAUGUUUCAGUCUUUUUAUUAAUUUAUUACUUACUCUUUUCAACUUUGUGAAUCAAAUUCCUUAUUUUCUUUUCUUUUAUUUUAUUUACAAUUACAGUUAUAGCCUUUCUCUGUAAGGUGAGAGUGGAAUUUAUCCUUUCCAUUCACUCAUUUCUUCCGUUUCAUCGAUUUUGUCCGGAUCCCACCUUUCUCCCGAAAAAACGGAAGGAGAAGGAUAAGGAUCUUCUUCAGUGGAUCCCUCUUGUUCCUGUUUAGUCCCCUACAUUUCGGAAGCUGUUUCUAUUUCUACAUCUCUUUCUUCCUCACUUUCCACCCUUUCUUCUGUUUUUGAGGCUUCUUUUAGUUUCUUAGUAAGAAUGGAUCCCUCUUGUUCCUGUUUAGUCCCCUACAUUUCGGAAGCUGUUUCUAUUUCUACGUCUCUUUCUUCCUCACUUUCCACCCUUUUCUUCUGUUUUUGAGGCUUCUUUUAGUUUCUUAGUAAGAAUGGGUGGGGUAUUCUGCCUAAAUAGUAGACACAGGUAAUAAAUAAGAGAAUACUAAAGAUCCGAGCCAUAGAAUUUCUCAAUUCUAAUACAAGGUACUUAUUAGAUCGAAUGUAUAGAUCCCUAAAAAAACAAAGAAAAAGCUAUAAUAAUACAUAAACUUGAAGAUGUUGAUGCAACCGCAUUUGAGGGAAAAGAUAAUUUGCAACAAUACGAAAGAAGAUGACAAAAAGAACAAUAAAGAUCAAAGUUUAACGACUAACAAAACAUUAACAAAAAUUAGUGAGCAUUCUUUUACAAUGAACUAAACUAUGAUGUAACUUGAUUUUUGAAGUUGUAUAUUGUCAAAAAAAAUGUUAUUGUUGGUAUGUCAAUCCAAAUAUCAAUUUUAGUAUUUUUUUCUUCUUCAUAUAAAAUUAACUUAAAUUGACAGAGCACUCAGAAAUUAAUUUGUACUCUUAACUUGCUUUCAUCAUUUUGAUUCACAAUUCCUUUAAUGCUUUUGUUCUCUAAUUGUUUUCACAUUAUCUAUCAAUAUUUUCAUACAAGAUUAUUAUUCAUUCAAAAAAGAUGUCAACAUAAUCCAUACUAAGUAUACUGAUCAAUUCUAUAUUAUUGUAUCUGUUUAGUUAGAUGAUUCCCUAUUUUAAUAAAUUUGGAUAUCAAAUAUUGAUUUAAUAGUUUAUCUGAAGGAAAUAUUGUUCGAUUAAACAGAAGGCACCGGAGGUAAUAAUUAUUACUCUAUGUCUUGGGUACAAUAGCGUAAUAGAAAUUUAUAACAAGAACAUACACUAGAAAUGUCGUCUAUAAGUAAUAUUAGGUGAAAUGCAUUUUAUGAUAUAUUUGUACCUCAUAAAAUUCAAAUUAAAAUCAAAAUAAGAAAAUACAAUCACAUGUAUCUAAUUAAAUUUUGAUUAUUUAUUUAAUAGGUUUAGACAUUAACUAAUCAUUUUGAUCUUGACAAACAAGUAAUCAUAUGACAAUCCACGUUAAUUAGCCACAUAACCUAUACUUUAUAUUUUCACGCAUAACUAUUUGGCCAAUGCAAAAUCAUAUAUCAUAUGACUCGACAUGCACGUACAUAUUAAAAUCACUUAUAAAUCGAAUUGUAACAAUAGACUAAUAAGUAUUAAUCACACAGAAUUUUGCAUAGUCUGUUGUGCUAACGAUAAAGGUCUCGUCCAAAUGUAUUGUUUGGGGAGGCGAACUUAUCCUCUCGGUACUUAGUCAUCAGCCCCCGAUAACUUUGAAUAUAUAUAGUCUGUUGGCAUUCUAAGAAUCAAAUUUUAGAUAGUUGCAUCGGCUUGGCUGAUUCAAGGGGCACAAACUUUUCGUGUGUUGCCUGAGUUCUAUUCUGACUUUAAUCCAACAACAACAACAAUUACCCAAUAUACUCCCACCAGGUGGGGUCUGGGGUGUAAUAUGUAGACAAGCCUUACCCCUAUCCGAAAGGGCAGAGAGGCUGUUUCCAAUCGACCCCCGGCUCAUAGGAUAAAAGAAAAAACAGCAGUAACACAAAAACAAAGAAUUACUCCAAUCAACUGUAUGUUGUUCAUAUAGUUGGCCAAUGUGUAUUUUCGAUCUCCAAAGUCUGAUGUUUCAACUAUCAGUCCUUUUUAUAGUCAACAUAAUUAAGUAUUUUGAUAAAAAUCCAUCCUAAAAUUUGAUAAACCACGUGAACCGAGACCCGUGCCGACAUACGGAAAGGCUCCUAUGGUAACGUAGCCUCAUUUAUUUCCACUUAUAUCCUUCAAAAGACACAAAUGCAUUGGUUUGCUCUUCGUUUUUGUCUCUUUUUCCUUUUUGUUUCUUAGAUUGGAAUUUUGGUCUGAAUAGAGCUUAGACCUGACAGGCACUCUUUUCACACUCGAUAUUUAUACAAAAUAAAUGAAUACAAGACAUAUUUUGUAUUUAAAAUUUUAUCAUGAAUAAGCAUUAUAAUAAUAUAAAUAUUAUGUAUGCCCACUUAAAUUUAUUAAUCUUAAAGUUAAAUUACUGUAUGUAGUGAAAAUAUUGGGUGCCCUUAAAUUGAUACUAAUGUUCUCUCGUUUCGAAGGAACAAAUCUUAGACAGAGUCAAACCGCCCAACCACACAAAUUUUAGUAGGUGACGCCAUUUAUGUCGUUCGUUUCCACCGAAAAAACGACACAUUUUAUAAUCAAAGGAAGUCAAAACAAGCCAAGACAAACGUAACAGAGCAAUAUAGUAAUGUAUAAAGUCCAACGCAUAAGAGCCAGUUGGCGUGAAAAUAUCUCUAACAACAAAAAACAGAAUAACACAGUCACUCGUCGGUGAAUAAGUCUCAUCUUUUAGUAAGAAACAAAUUUUAAGUGGGGAAAUUGUGUUUCUCAUACUUUACAGAAUAGUUAGUGUAAGAUAUUUCAAACAUAUAAACAUAACAUCUGUACUACAUUUUGUGAAACACCAGGAGUGGACUCGUUUUGGUCAUCACUUUUCAGAAGUAAACUAAGUGUUUGGUUCAAAUUUGAAGUAGUAGAGGAUCAAAUUGAAGAUGGAAGAUUUGUGGUAAAAGAUGGUUUUUCCAGUUAGACGUGCUUGGUUCGUGUUUUCUGCUCGUGUCAAGGCUCCUAAAAAUGGUUAGUCCUCUACACCCCCGAACAAAACAACUACCACAAUAAACCGAGUGAACUUGAUGGUUCUUUAACAGAUCCUUAAGGUUUUCCAUCACUUCUAUACAAACAAUAAAGUUCCAGACGAAAGAGCAAAUUAAUGUUUAAUCAAGUCGUCAGUAUUCUUCGUAUUAUAUUGCUACUUUUAGAACCAAAAAAGAACCUUUAUCUACAUCCCCUUCUAAAUGUAAGAAAUAUUCCAUGCCUUAAAGAAAUCACACGGCAACAAAUUGGACGAGCCGAUAAAAUGUUAGGCAUAGUAAAUGACCUAAAAUUGUAGUCUCUGUUAAUGGAACAAAUACUGUAAUUGACAACAUAUGCAAACAAUAUAAUCCUAUCUUAGGGUCUGCUUACCAUUGGUAAGUUGAUAUAUUGCCAUAAAUCUUGUAAUAAUGUUAGUUAGACACUUGUGAGCUUUCGCACUUGACAAAUUAAAUAUAUGCUAAGAAUGACUUUUAUGAUUCCAUUAGGAGUCAUUUUCUAUGUAUAAGCCCCCCAAGUCAGGCCAACUUGUUAAUAAUAUAAGCUGCUAAUCAAGUCAAUGAUGGCUUUGUUUUGGGCAACCUUUAAUCUAUUUUUCUACUGCCACCCAUUAAUGCCUUAAUAUUUCUCAGUGCAUUAACUAGUAGGCAAAAUUGGCAUAGCACCAUUUUUCUUCAGGAUAAGCAGAUGACCUUCCAGAAAGUAGAUAAGAGCACAUAGUAUUCAUGGUAUCUGAUUCCUUAAUAGGACAACAUUUCAGAUAGCCUAAACAUAUCACUUGCCACUUCAUAUAGCUCUAGAGAGAGUCCCUAGUCCACAACGGCCUAUAUGCUUCAUUUUCUGCAGGCAAGUCUCCAGAAGUACUGAUAUAUUAUGAAUUAUCAGUACUCUAGGGUCGAAGAGAAACUUUUAACCUUUUGGUACAAAGAAAUUGGACAGUGAACGAGAAGAGUGAAAACAUAGAACAGUAGCUUUAAGGAUCACUAACAUGGUUUUAUGUUGGUUUUUGUUUCCUUCAGGUGCUGGAUUAUUGAAGCUUCAUGGUGAUAUACAGUCCUGCGGGUAUGCAGAUGUACAGGUGAUGUGGGAAAUGCUUGGAGGAAUGGAGUCAGAGUUGACAUCUCGGCACAUUAAGCAAAAGCACCAUCUAUCAUUUAGUAAUUUUGUAUGGCCCAACCAUAGUGCUAAAUCUGCAUCCUUCUCCGCAGAUCAUGCUCGUUAAGAUGAUAUAUGAUGUACUCCAUCAAUAAGAGUAUUUGAAGAAUUUUGUAUGGUCCAACCAUAGUGCUAAAUCUGCAUCCUUCUCCAAUGAUCAUGCUCAUUAAGAUGAUAUGUGCUGCACUGCAUCAAUAAGAGCAUCUGAAGAGUGAAGGGAUGUAUGCCACUGAAAAGUAUAUGUAGUGUUCAUAUCAGCAUAUGAAGUAUGUUUAUCAACUUGGACCACUAUAGCCAGCAUGAAAGUAUCGGGACUGUCAUGGCGACAGUAUCAGCUGUAAAUAUACAAAUUUUCCUGAUGAUGUACGAAAACCCGGCACUAAAUAGAGAAAAAGAAUUUUGAAGAGCUCAGUUUUCCUUACUUUCUUUGCUUAAAUUUGAUAUAUAGAACAAAAAUUACUAUAAGGAUUUAACUCAUACCCGUUGUGGCGACCAUAUUCUACAGGACACAGUUCCAAUAAAUUGGAGGCGAUGUUAUCGAAACAGCCCCAUCAACAAGGUGACAUCUGAAAGAAGAACCAAAUCAUACUCCAUGUUAAUGCCUAGCAUAUUAUUCCUUAGAUGGACCAUAAAUAACAAAGUUUUACUAUGAAGCCCUAGACAUUGAUGUGCUUCAAUUCACCACUGGAAGGUCGAUUGCAUAUAGUAUGGAGUAUGGCUAUCCACUUCACUGAUGACGCCAGCAGUGCAACAAUGGUGUAACCUGUAACUUAACACAAUCCUGCUAUCUAACAGGACCAUCAACAACAACAACAACAACCCAGUAUAAUCCCACUUAGUGGGGUCUGGGGAGGGUAGUGUNNNNNNNNNNNNNNNNNNNNNNNNNNNNNNNNNNNNNNNNNNNNNNNNNNNNNNNNNNNNNNNNNNNNNNNNNNGGUCUGGGGAGGGUAGUGUGUACGCAAACCUUACCCCUACCCUGGGGUAGAGAGGCUGUUUCCAAAUAGACCCCCGGCAUCCUCCCUCCAAGAACUUUCCACCUUGCUAUCUAACAGGACCAAAGAAAAGAAAAACUCUCAAGAGAUCAAUUUCCUUGACAAAACCUGUAUCACUUGUGGUGGUUAUGCCACCAGUGACACAGUGCUGACAAACUUGAAUGCUGUCAUGUCCAAAGUUCAAACCACGGAAAAAGAAAAAAAGAAAAAAGAUCUCAUUCAUAUAUCAUCAUAAUGCUCUCACACCCCUCUAUAAAAUGAAUGCAAAAUAUUAAGUUGAUUCGGCUUCUAUACCAUGCAUCAGUCCAAGAGCUUUAGGAUCCACCAGAGGGCUGAAGGAGAAUGCAACAAAAAGAAACAUUGGUUCUGCUUCUAUACCAUGCAUUCAUCGGAAAGCUUUAGCAUCUCCCAUAGGGCUGAAUUCAUGGGAAACUUCAAAACUCCAAAUAAUUUUUGUUUCCAAAUGCAUAGAGAGUGCCAUAGAGAUGCCACAGCAAAAAAAAAACAUGCAGGGCUUUAAACUUUAGUUGCUUCUACAGGAAUGAAGCUCAAGAUUAGCAACAAAUAAUGAUACAAUGAGUUCAUCCAUUAAAUAUCCUAUCGAAGCUCCAUUAAUUAGUAAUUUG
rnacentral:lncRNA from 1 species